ensembl:snoRNA
GAAAGCAUUUGGAUUUAUGGCAUGCCCAAUUCCCCUGGGCAUUUCAUAGUGUCCCAUGAGCAAACUGUGACCCUCAAUCACUGCCUGGCCUCUAUGCCGGUAGGCUAGUGGUACUGAAGUGGCUUGCACAAAG